ensembl:snRNA U6 U6 spliceosomal RNA
GUGUCUGCUUUGGCCACACAUAUACUAAAACUCAAAACAGUACAGGGGAGAUUAUUAGCACAGCCCCUGAGCAAGGAUGACAUACAAAUCCACUAAGCAGCCCAUAUUAAA